rnacentral:rRNA from 1 species
AACGAACGCUGGCGGCAGGCUUAACACAUGCAAGUCGAACGCCCGUAGCAAUACGGGAGUGGCGGACGGGUGAGUAACGCGUGGGAACGUGCCCUAAGGUACGGAAUAACUGCGGGAAACUGCAGCUAAUACCGUAUGUGCCCGAAAGGGGAAAGAUUUAUCGCCCAAGGAUGAGCCCGCGUAGGAUUAGCUAGUUGGUGAGGUAAAGGCUCACCAAGGCGACGAUCCUUAGCUGGUCUGAGAGGAUGAUCAGCCACACUGGGACUGAGACACGGCCCAGACUCCUACGGGAGGCAGCAGUAGGGAAUAUUGGACAAUGGGGGCAACCCUGAUCCAGCAAUGCCGCGUGAGUGAUGAAGGCCUUAGGGUUGUAAAGCUCUUUUACCCGGGAUGAUAAUGACAGUACCGGGAGAAUAAGCCCCGGCUAACUCCGUGCCAGCAGCCGCAGUAACAC